GUCCCUCCUGCUCUACUGCAGGUCCAAAGGGACCUGGCUCUGUCAACGGUGGACUGGUCUCUGCUGGAGUCUGAGCAUGAUGUCAUCUGGUCUCCCAAGCAUUAAGAACUAUGUGGAAAUAGAACAUCUGCUCUGAUGUUCUGGUUUACUGAUGGAUCAGGACAAAACAGACUGGUUUGGAGGAUUAGGACUAAACUGAGACUGGUUCAUAUAUUUAGUUUAUACCUGUAAUCAGAGCUGCUCAAUAUGCUCCGGCCCAGCUGGUCUCCUGACACUAACAUGGACCCCAGUUUUUUUGUCAAGGAAGGAACUCUUUUAAAUUUACGUGACACUAGAUAUUUGUUAGUCCCUGUCCUCCCUCCCGUUUCCUGCCCCCUCCCUCCCUCUCUCUCUGUUAUGUUAAGUAGCAGGCCUGCUUUCUGUCCACCGCUCUCUCCUCCUUGGGUUUCAAUUCCAAACAUGGUUAUCCUUCUAGGGCUCUGUAGACGCCCCCCCCCACCCCGGUCCUCGCUCCUCCAGCUGCUGGGUCCGCAGUGUGGGGCCACGGAGCGAGGGCAACAGACCGAGAGAAGGACAAGGAACCCAUUCCAGCUGUUUUAGAGCAGUGAGAACGCCUCCACCGCGAAGAAGGGAACCAACGUCCGCUCGUGACAUUCAUCGGUCAGCAUCAGCAAACAGCUGCAUUUGCAUGUUGCGAUAGCACCGGAUUAAACACCUAUUUUCUUAAGGGAGGUUGGGGUGGGGGUGGGGGGGGGGGGGCGGGGGUGCACUCAAAAGGCAAACAUGAGCGCGGACAACUGGACCCUGCUGGACCGCUUGUUCUCUCCGCCCCUCUGCGACGGCUGGAGCAACAGCACGGAGGGAGGCCUCUACCACCUGGGCCACACCAUGCUGAUCCUGGGCUACAUGGGGGGCAGCGGCCCCUACGGGUGCCUCUUCAUCUUCGGCUUCCUGGUCCCAGCCCACACCUGCCUGGCCCUGUGGGGCUGGAUGACGGUGUGCGGCCCGGACGUCUUCACCUGGAACCUGCUGCUGCUGCUGGCCUGCCUGGCCCAGAUCGGCCACCUGCUGUGGCGGCUGCGGCGGGAGGGGCUCCGCGGCGAGGAGCUCACCUGCCUCUACCGGGCGGUGUACCUGCCGCUGGGCGUGCCCGUGCAGGUGUUCAAAGCCAUCGCCGGCGCCUUCGAGAACAAGGUCGUGGAGCUGAAGGCGGGAGCGACGUACGCCGUGGAGGGCAGGACGCCCAUCGACCAGCUCUCCUUCCUGCUGUCUGGGAGGAUCAGUGUGUCUUUGGAGGGCCAGUUCCUGCAUUACAUCCACCGCCACCAGUUCCUCGACUCCCCGGAGUGGGAGUCUCUCAGGCCCAACGAGGAGGGAAAGUUCCAGGUGACCUUGACGGCAGAGGAGGACUCCCGCUACGUCUCGUGGCGGCGCCGGCGCCUGUACCAAGCCAUCUCUAAGGACCGCUAUGUCGCCCGCAUCUUCUCCGUCAUGCUGGGCUACGACAUCGCAGAGAAGCUCUACAACCUCAACAGCAAGCUCUACAUCAAGAGCGGCAUUCUGCUGGACAUUCGCCUGCCCAGCCUCUACCACGUGCUGGCCCCCUCGUCGCAGGGCAGCGGCAGCGGCAGCGAGGGAGGCGUCGGCAGCGAGGGUGGCAUCGGCAAGGAGCACCUGGAGGCCGGAGACCCGGUGCCAGCCUACCAGGGGUCCGACGUGGCCCAGUUUCAGCCCCACCCUCAGGGACCAAGGAACCCCUCUGUGGACCAACGCCAGGCUCACCAGCACCCCUGGGCGUCAGAGCCCGAUAUGCCCCCCGGUGAGGACUCCACCAGCCUGGUCCUGGAGGACUUUGCUGAUGUGGCGGGCUCCUUAACGGAUUAUGGCAGUGAGAGGGAUUAUUUGAGGUAGAGGGACACGGUGCUGCAGCUAACACACGGGGGUCACCAAUCACGCUACAAGAAGUGAUGUCGACGUGGAUCGACCACCUCGGUUCCAGCGAGGCAGAGCGCCGCUGGCUCCCACCGACACCCCCAAACUGUGACCCCAGUCCCUCCAUUAUCCACGGCGAGGCAGCACCGUCGCGUCACAUGUCACAUGGCGCCAUGUCACGUGUCACCAUCUCAAUUCCAACACCAAGCUCUGAAAUCUGCCUUAACAGGCACAUAUUUCAGGUAUCAUGAGACUAACAGAUACCUUAUUUUAACCAAUAGAAUGCUUUGUGUGUCCGCUACCAGGGAAUAACAUCUGUCCAAUCAGCGUCCAACAUUUAAUAAAUUAGAGCAAAUCUGAAUUAAACCCUACUUAAGUGGCAACACAACGCCGAGGACAGACGGCCGGAUGGAAAUUUUAAUAUUUUAUGUCAUUAAAACGGAUUCAGUGCUACUGAAGCAGAUGAA